rnacentral:lncRNA from 1 species
AGCUUCUGGAGCGCUGGUGGCAGCCACUGCUGGACCCGUUGCGGGCCUGUCUGCCGUUGGGACCCCGGGCGCUGCCCAGUGGCUUCCCCCUUCACACAGACAUCCUCGGGCUGCUGCUCCUCCACCUGGAACUGAAGCGCUGCCUCUUCACCGUGGAGCCCUUGGGGGAUAAAGAGCCUUCACCAGAACAGCGCCGGCGCCUCCUCCGAAACUUCUAUACCCUGGUCACCUCCACGCACUUCCCACCAGGUCAGCGGAAGGCACAGUGCUCCCACUGCGCAGGCGGGGACACUGAGUCCCAGGUCGCACAAAAUGGGAGUAGGAGGUGGGGUUGGAGGAUCCGGAGGAACCCAGUAUGCACUGGGCCAUAGGGCAGUGGUUUUCCUUGAGAUCUGAGCAUUGAUGCAGAUGGGAAGGGAGGGGAAGGGAGGUCCCCGCCUGGCUUCAGAAUCUCCUGGAUCAUAGUCAACAAUAGUUAACACUGAGACCUCACCUCUUCCCAGUGCCUUUACACGUAAUGAAAGAAUGAAAUCACUUCAU